rnacentral:rRNA from 1 species
UACGUAGGGUGCAGGCGUUAAUCGGAAUUAGCUAGGGCGUAACGUGCGCAGGCGGUCUUUUAAGUCAGAUGUGAAAUCCCCGGGCUUAACCUGGGAAUGGCGAUGGUGACUGCAAGGCUGAGUUGGCAGGAGGGGGGUAGAAUUCCGACGUGUAGCGGUGAAAUGCGUAGAUAUCAGGAGGAACACCGGUGGCGAAGGCGGGUCUCUGGGCCGAUACUGACGCUGGAGGAGCGAAAGCGUGGGGAGCGAACAGG